GGACAGCAAACUCUACAGGAUUAUACUCUAGAGCUUUAGUCUGGCUUCUCCGGGGAGAUGUUGGCUUCUUCUUCAGAUAACAACUGUUCUGCAGGGAAGCAGGAUGUCAGUGGAAGACAGACAAGGAAGCCAUGAACAGACGUUGACAUGUAGUGUCAAUAUACUGAGAAAGCAGCUCUUAGAAGAAAGAACAGAGAUGAUACUGGGAAAGUACUAAAGAUCAGAUACUCAGAAGUGCAAACAAAUGUCAUCUAUUUAAGUAACCCAGACAAUCCAAGAAGCAGUCUGAAGGGAGUUUGAUGCUAAAUAGCUCUGAAGACUUGGGAGGUAAAUCCUAAUCGUGUCAAAGAUUUGGCACAAAGACAUGUUUCAGGGUGAGUUAAUAAACAAACAUGCUGAUGGAUAGUAGUGAUAAGAUCAUGGUGAAGUCUUCUUAAUCAGAUAGGGAUUACUGACCAGAUUCCAAAUAUUUCCUACAUGCAUAUUUCUUUAAAUAUUUGUUUUAUAAGAGGAUAUUCCAUGCCAUUUUGUGUUUGUUCUGUUCAGAUGUUUAAAUAAUCUUAUUUUCAAUGUUUGUAAGUCAAGGACAAUUUACUGUUGUAUUUUGUGUCUGGGAAAGAAUCUAGUUGUAUUGUGGGUCAUACCUAUGUAGUGUGUGAUCUGAGAAUUCAAAAUAAAUCCUAAAUGAUAAGGGAUGGGGCACCUGGGUGGCUCAAUCAGUUUAGAGUCUGACUCUUGAUUUUGGCUCAGGUCAUGAUCUCAUGGGU